AUUUGUCUUCUAAGAAACCACAGGUAAUAAACCUCUCUAGACAUAUCAGGAUGCCAAGAAUUUUAAUAAUUUUAUUUGGUACCUGGAUAUCACCACAAAUUCAUAGCUACAUGGAUACCUGUGUACUUCUCAAACAUGCUGCUGGCAGUGACUCAAGAGCAUGACUUUAAGGAACCCGGGCACAACCCCAAACAGGUUGUGAAUUCUACACUUGGAUUUCACCAAUCAAGUAUCAGGUGUAAACUCCUCAGGCACUGUAAUAGUCUAAACAGGGAAUCAUAGACAGUCCCCUUGCCACGCAGCCUUGCCACCAGAUGUAUUAUUGAUGAGUGGUAACGAGACAGACAUUUCCAGCUGCUGCAGCUACCAACUAAGCUUUAUUUAUGAAUUUAUUAAUUCCGGCGCUGAAGGAUGCUUGCUGUGGUUGCUUUUCCAUAGGGCGGAAGACUCACCUUAUUAAAUAUUUAUCAUCACGGAGUACACACUUCUCCUCACUUUACUAUUCAACACAUAUAGGAAAAUGGAAGCCACAGACCAUACACGUAAGACCAAACGAAAUGAGCUAAGUUUUCAAAGGGGCUUCCUAAAUUACACCUGCAAAAUCCUAAGGUCAGAAGGGCUCAUUGUGAUCAUCUACUGAGACCUCCUGCGUAACACAGGCACUAGCUUUCACCCAGCUCAACAACAUAUGCCUGACUGAAAUUAGAAGUGAUGGAAUGGGUAAGACAGAGUCUGUUUGGACCAAAAUCACU